rnacentral:rRNA from 1 species
UAGGGAAUAUUGGUAAUGUGCGAAAGCGCGAACCAGCAACGCCGCGUGCACGAUGAAGGCCUUCGGGUUGUAAAGUGCUUUUAGAGAGGAUGAGGAAGGACAGUACUUUCUGAAUAAGCCUCGGCUAACUACGUGCCAGCAGCCGCGGUAAAACGUAGGAGGCUAGCGUUAUCCGGAUUUACUGGGCGUAAAGCGCGUGCAGGUGGUUUCGUAAGUUGGAUGUGAAAGCUCCUGGCUUAACUGGGAGAGGUCGUUCAAAACUGCGAGGCUUGAGAGUGGUAGAGGGAGGUGGAAUUCCGGGUGUAAUGGUGAAAUGCGUAGAUAUCCGGAGGAACACCAGUGGCGAAAGCGGCCUCCUGGACCAUUUCUGACACUCAGACGCGA